GCCAAAUGCACUGGAUGUUGGGUAGCAUUUGAAUCCUUGUCAGUGUCGAAGCUACGCGUUAAGUUCCCCCCCUGGGGAGUACGGCCCCAAGACUGAAACUCAAUGGAUUUGACGGGGGCCCCCACAAGCGGGGAAGUAGGUGGUUUAUUUCAAUGCACCGCAAAAAACCUUCCCUGGCCUUGACUUCUCAAAAACUUUCCAAAAAUGGAUGGGGGCCUUCGGAAACUCGAACCCAGGUGCUGCAGGGUUGUCGUCAGCUCGUGUCGGGAAAUGUUGGGUUAAGUCCCGCACCGAGCGCACCCCUUGUCCUUAUUUGCCACCACGUAGGGGUGGAAACUCUAGGGACAGCCCCGGAGACAACCCAGAAGAGGGGGGAUAAGACCUCAAGUCCUCGGGCCCUUUAGGGCCGGGUCUACACACGUUCUACAGUGCUGGGGACAGAGGUCUCCAACCCGGCGACGGAACUCCAAUCCCAGAACCCCUAUCUCACUCCAGAUUGGACUCUGCAUCUCCACUCCUGAACUCAGAAUCUCUAAUAAUCGAAUUCAAUGUUGCUGCGAAGAAUACGUUCCGGGUUCUUGUACACACCGGUCGUACACGAUGGUAGUUUGUUCCCCAGAAGCUGGUCCUUCCCUUCGGGAGGGCCUCGCCCGUGUGCCGAUUACUGUGAAGCAG
rnacentral:rRNA from 1 species